GAGUGGCACCUUCAAGGAGUCUCGAUCCAUUUCCACUCCCAGAGACAGCAUGCAAAGAGAUGAGGUCUCGCCAAGUUGUCUAGGCUGGUGUCGAACUCUUGGGCCCAAGUGAUCCUCCUGCCUUGGCCUCCCAAAGUGCUGGGAUUACAGACACUGUGUCCCUAGGAUGUUCCUUGUUCAGAAUCCAGCCUCAUCAGCUGUCCCAGAGCCCCACAGAAGCAUCCUGACAUCAUCAAUCCACAAGAGACCGAACGUCUGCAGAGCCCGGAAUGAAUCAGACAAGAGAAAGAGAGACAGGCCUCGGCGUGGAGGAGUCACCUGAACAAGGCCCCGUGCAGCCUGUGGAGCCCAGGACAAGGCAUCCCAUUAAAGACGAGCACCUGCUUCCCGGCAGGCCGGAACUGACGAGGCCUCAAAGAACAAGCUGGAAUCUGUCAGAACCCAAAGAGAACACACUCGGCUACGCGCUGAGCCGAGAGCCACAGCGGGUGUCUGGCGAAGGCACCAGGGUAAGGACCUGCUGAGGGACAAGGUUAGGACACCCUCUGCCCCCUCGAAAAUUUUUUUUUUUUUUUGAGGCGGGUCUGCGCUCUACCAUCGCCAGGCUGGAGUGCAGUGAGUGCGAUCUCGGCUCACUGCAGCCUCUGUCUCCCGGAGUUCCGCGCCAUUUUUCCUGCCUCAGCCUCCCGAGUAGCUGGGACUGAGGCACCUGCCACCAUGUCCGGCUAAUUUUUUUUGUAUUUUUAGUAGAGACUUGAGACCGCAGUGUAAGCCAGGAUGGUCGCAAGUCUCUCCUGACCUCGUGAUCCACCCACCUUGGCCUCCCAAAGUGCUGGGAUUACAGAGUGAGCCACCCCAGCCCGACCACCCCCUCAAAAUUUCUAAGUACAAAGCUGCUGAACAUCUGGGCACCCAGAGCAGGAGCCUCCUGCACACCGAGCGGAGGUGAUGACCAGAGGUGCUGAGGGCAGGAGGACCAAAGCUGAGUCCUGGGCCACUUGGAACAGCCUUGGGACUCAGAGGCAGUCCCUUCACCCUUCUUGGCCUCAGUGUUCUCAACUGUAAGUGGGGAACCCCAGAACAUGCAUCUCCCGGGAGGUUACGCCUCACAGAAGAUGCUCUGCCCGGAUAUCCAGUCCCUCCGUCUGCAGAUAAGGAGGUGGAGGAGGGAGGGAGAUGGACAGGCAGGGGGACAUUUCCAUUUGGCGCCAGGCCUUGUGUUUGACACACACUGUUUCAUUUGAUUUCCUCCCAUGCCUCUGCAAUUUGCACUGGAGAUGAGGGCUCAGUCCCCAGAGACCCCUGUUUCUCCUCACUCACACCUGAGACAGCUUCAGAGAGGUGGGUCUUACCAGGGUCAACAUCCUCAC
ensembl:lncRNA